CGGAGCGUCGUUUGCGACGCCCAACACACAAAACAAGCGGUGAGUGCUUUGGGGUGGGGUGACUGCGUACCUUUUGUAUAAUGGGUCAGCGACUUAUAUUCUGUAGCAAGGUUAACCGUAUAGGGGAGCCGAAGGGAAACCGAGUCUUAACUGGGCGUUAAGUUGCAGGGUAUAGACCCGAAACCCGGUGAUCUAGCCAUGGGCAGGUUGAAGGUUGGGUAACACUAACUGGAGGACCGAACCGACUAAUGUUGAAAAAUUAGCGGAUGACUUGUGGCUGGGGGUGAAAGGCCAAUCAAACCGGGAGAUAGCUGGUUCUCCCCGAAAGCUAUUUAGGUAGCGCCUCGUGAACUCAUCUUCGGGGGUAGAGCACUGUUUCGGCUAGGGGGUCAUCCCGACUUACCAACCCGAUGCAAACUGCGAAUACCGAAGAAUGUUAUCACGGGAGACACACGGCGGGUGCUAACGUCCGUCGUGAAGAGGGAAACAACCCAGACCGCCAGCUAAGGUCCCAAAGUCACAGUUAAGUGGGAAACGAUGUGGGAAGGCUCAGACAGCCAGGAUGUUGGCUUAGAAGCAGCCAUCAUUUAAAGAAAGCGUAAUAGCUCACUGGUCGAGUCGGCCUGCGCGGAAGAUGUAACGGGGCUAAACUGUGCACCGAAGCUGCGGCAGCGACGCUUAUGCGUUGUUGGGUAGGGGAGCGUUCUGUAAGCCUGCGAAGGUGUCCUGUGAGGGAUGCUGGAGGUAUCAGAAGUGCGAAUGCUGACAUAAGUAACGAUAAUGCGGGUGAAAAGCCCGCUCGCCGGAAGACCAAGGGUUCCUGUCCAACGUUAAUCGGGGCAGGGUGAGUCGACCCCUAAGGCGAGGCCGAAAGGCGUAGUCGAUGGGAAACGGGUUAAUAUUCCCGUACUUGGUGUUACUGCGAAGGGGGGACGGAGAAGGCUAUGUUGGCCGGGCGACGGUUGUCCCGGUUUAAGCGUGUAGGCUGGUUUUCCAGGCAAAUCCGGAAAAUCAAG
rnacentral:rRNA from 1 species